rnacentral:tRNA from 1 species
UAUGGCAGACUAGUGCAAAGGACUUAAACUCCUUAAAUAAAGAUCAAAAUUCUUUUAUUAAAA